GCGGGAAUAGCUCAGUUGGUUAGAGCGCCACGUUGCCAACGUGGAGGUCGAGAGUUCGAGUCUCUUUUCCCGCUCCA
rnacentral:tRNA from 1 species